UACGAAGGGGGCUAGCGUUGCUCGGAAUCACUGGGCGUAAAGGGUGCGUAGGCGGGGCUUUAAGUCAGGGGUGAAAUCCUGGAGCUCAACUCCAGAACUGCCUUUGAUACUGGGUAUCUCGAGUAUGGAAGAGGUGAGUGGAAUUCCGAGUGUAGAGGUGAAAUUCGUAGAUAUUCGGAGGAACACCAGUGGCGAAGGCGGCUCACUGGUCCAUUACUGACGCUGAGGUGCGAAAGCGUGGGGAGCAAACAGG
rnacentral:rRNA from 1 species